CAAAUUUAACACCGUAACUUCGGGAGAAGGUGUGCCCCGGUAGGUUGUAGAGCCUCGCGCUCGAAGGCCGAUGGGGUUGCAGUGAAAUGGUGGCUGCGACUGUUUAAUAAAAACACAGCUCUCUGCAAACACGAAAGUGGACGUAUAGGGAGUGACGCCUGCCCGGUGCCGGAAGGUUAAUUGAUGGGGUGCAAGCUCUUGAUCGAAGCCCCGGUAAACGGCGGCCGUAACAAUGACGGUCCUAAGGUAGCGAAAUUCCUUGUCGGGUAAGUUCCGACCUGCACGAAUGGCGUAACGAUGGCCACACUGUCUCCUCCUGAGACUCAGCGAAGUUGAAAUGUUUGUGAAGAUGCAAUCUCCCCGCGGCAAGACGGAAAGACCCCAUGAACCUUUACUGUAGCUUUGCAUUGGACUUUGAACCGGUCUGUGUAGGAUAGGUGGGAGACUAUGAAACCGGGACGCUAGUCUCGGUGGAGUCAACCUUGAAAUACCACCCUGGUUUGUUUGAGGUUCUAACCUUGAUCUGUGAAUCCGGAUCGGGGAUCGUGCAUGGUGGGCAGUUUGACUGGGGCGGUCUCCUCCCAAAAGGUAACGGAGGAGUACGAAGGUACGCUUAGGGCGGUCGGACAUCGCCCAUAAAGUGCAAUGGCAAAAGCGUGCUUGACUGCGAGACCCACAAGUCGAGCAGGUGCGAAAGCAGGUCAUGGUGAUCCGGUGGUUCUGUAUGGAAGGGCCAUCGCUCAACGGAUAAAAGGUACUCUGGGGAUAACAGGCUUAUACCGCCCAAGAGUUCAUAUCGACGGCGGUGUUUGGCACCUCGAUGUCGGCUCAUCUCAUCCUGGGGCCGUAGCCGGUCCCAAGGGUAUGGCUGUUCGCCAUUUAAAGAGGUACGUGAGCUGGGUUUAAAACGUCGUGAGACAGUUUGGUCCCUAUCUGCCGUGGGCGCUGGAAAUUUGAAGGGGGCUGCUCCUAGUACGAGAGGAUCGGAGUGGACGAACCUCUGGUGUACCGGUUAUGACGCCAGUCGUAUCGCCGGGUAGCUAUGUUCGGAAGAGAUAAACGCUGAAAGCAUCUAAGCGUGAAACUCGCCUUAAGAUAAGAUUUCCCGGAGUCUUGAACUCCUUAAAGGGUCGUCGAAGACCACGACGUUGAUAGGUCAGGUGUGGAAGCGCAGUAAUGCGUUAAGCUAACUGAUACUAAUUGCCCGUACGGCUUGAUU
rnacentral:rRNA from 1 species